rnacentral:rRNA from 1 species
GACGAACGCUGGCGGCGUGCUUAACACAUGCAAGUCGAACGGAAAGGCCCGGAUUUUGUGGGGUGCUCGAGAGGCGAACGGGGGAGUAACACGUGAGUAAAAUGUCCUUGACUUUGGGAUAAAUUCAGGGAACAGGGGAUAAUACCGGAUAGGAGCUCCUGCUGCACGGGGGGGGUAGGAAAGAUUCGGCGGUGGGGGAUGGAAUCGAGGGUUAUCAGCUGGAUGGUGGAGUAGUGGAGUACCACGGCUUUGAAGGGUAGCCGGCCUGAGAGGGUGACCGGCCACAUUGCGCCUGAGAUACGGCCCAGACUCCUACGUGAGGCAGCGGUGGAGAAUCUUACACAAUGGGCGGAAGCCUGAUGCAGCAACCCCGCGUGCGUGAUGACCUCCUUCUAGUUGUGAACCGCUUUCGCCUUUGCCGAGGCCUUCGUGACGGUACUUAGUCAAGAAGCCCCGGCUAACUACGUG